GAGGAAAAGAAACCAACAGGGAUUGCCUCAGUAACGGCGAGUGAAGCGGCAACAGCUCAAAUUUGAAAUCUGGCCGCAAGGUCCGAGUUGUAAUUUGUAGAGGAUGCUUUUGGCGAGGUGCCUUCCGAGUUCCCUGGAACGGGACGCCAUAGAGGGUGAGAGCCCCGUACGGUAGGACCACCAAGCCUCUGUAAAGCUCCUUCGACGAGUCGAGUAGUUUGGGAAUGCUGCUCUAAAUGGGAGGUGUACGUCUUCUAAAGCUAAAUACCGGCCAGAGACCGAUAGCGCACAAGUAGAGUGAUCGAAAGAUGAAAAGCACUUUGAAAAGAGGGUUAAAAAGUACGUGAAAUUGUUGAAAGGGAAGCAUUCAUGACCAGACUUGGGCUUGGUUGAACAUCCGGCGUUCUCGCCGGUGCACUCUGCCAGUCCAGGCCAGCAUCAGUUUGCCCCGGGGGAUAAAGGCGGCGGGAAUGUGGCUCCCUUCGGGGAGUGUUAUAGCCCGUCGUGUAAUGCCCUGGGGCGGACUGAGGAACGCGCUUCGGCACGGAUGCUGGCGUAAUGGUCAUCAAUGACCC
rnacentral:rRNA from 1 species